CAAAAAACUGAGUAAUUUGGAACAACUUUCCCAUCUAAAAAUCACCAUUUAUUAAGAACUUUUUUCGCUCUCAAAAUGAAAACUUCAUCCCGAAAAAAUGUUCCCUUUUGGUCAUCCACUGCAUAGCUCAAUCCAAAAACACAAUCCAAUAAAUGGGUUUCACUAAAAAUGCAUUGUUUCCCAAUACCCAAAAACACCACUGGGAAAAAAAAAAAUUCCUUUUUCGCUAAUCAAUUCAAAAUAUGUUUUUCUCAGUUCUAAACCAAAACAAAAACAAAUGUCUUUUUCAACGAAACAAUUCCUAACCUAUAUUCUUGCCUUUACUUUAUAUCAAAACAACAGAGUUGGGAUAAUUUGUCAAUCCAAAUAAAACAGUACAAAAUCAGAACAAAAUUAGAUUUGCAAAAAGACGAUGAUGAUUCAUUACCAACAGAUUUAAAAUUUCAGUACCAACUCCUAAAUGCCAACAUUUCAGCCACGCCUGGUUCAGAAAAAACCCACACAAACAGUAGAUUUUCAUGAAUGAGAAUGCGAAUGCAAAACACGGAACGAAUGGCUUACCUCGACAGAGAAAAUCUAAGAUGUGACAAAUCGGAUUAAGGCCUUCUCAACUGAAAUCUGCUUCGCCUCGAUGACGGAGUGAAGAAAUAUGAGAGAAAUGGGUAUCAAAUUAGAGAGAGGGAAGAAAGAACCCUCGGCUACACUAUUUUUAUGGGAUUUUCUGCUUCGCCUUGGUGACCGAGUGAAGACAGAUGAG
rnacentral:lncRNA from 1 species